rnacentral:lncRNA from 1 species
GGGGGGUAUACCAGGACCAUUCGCUGAGCUCGAUCAGUUUAGCUCAACGCUGAUUGGCACAUUCUUUGUACUUAUUUUUUUGUCAAGGGAGUCCAGAUGCUCGCUGGCUUCCCUUGACUUUUAAUGCUAUGGGCGGCAACAAUGUCAUACUCGUUUGGACCAGACCGCAUCAGAUGGCCCACACUUAGAGACAGAGGGGUGCUGUUUUGCUCACUCUGAUGCUUUCACCUGUGAGAUACAUUGUCAAUUGCGAAUUGAAAAUUAUGAAACAGAGACGAAAGAUUCCUUCCAGUCAACGUUUAGUCUGAACCUGGCCUCUAUCCUUUACACAGUGAUGAUAGUGAAGAGCAUGGUGUACUGCUGUGGGCUCUCUAUCCUGCUGCACCACAGGAGCUUGGGAAGAGGACCCAGCACCUGUAGACACAUUUAUUGAAAGGAUACCCCCCCCCCAUUUAUGGAUAGAGUUGUAGUGGGCUGGGAGUAACAUGGAUUUUACAUGCCAUUGAGGUCUAACAUUUCAUUUGUAUUGCUUUUAUUUUUCCUGCUUUAUUUUUUAGAUGCUACAAUAUUGUGAGCCAUAGAUUUCCAUGUCUUCUAAUAGCUUCAACUGCCAAAUAUGACAAUUGCAGCACAUUUAAUUGUGUAUAUGGAGUAUUGUUUCCCUCCUUAUGUGGGAGCUACCCACUGCAGACACAUGAAUAAAGAUUAAGUUAAGGUUUUCUGAAAAAUAAGCAGAGCAAAUCUUGAAUGUAAAUACAUUAUGAUUUUAAUUUAGACUUGUUUUGUUAGUUGCCCUGCAAUAUGUCAUAGAGGUAGGCCUAAAUUAUACUCACAACCUGUAUUUAAUUUAUACAAAAUAUGUCAUUAUUAAAUAUGUAGGCCCAUGAGUUCUAAAUCAUUAUCCAAUAUAAUAUUUAGUAACUUGUCUUGAAGUGUAAUUUUUCUCAAGAAAUUACUUUGUUUCACAUCUCAAUAAAUGAAUAAGAGAAUCAAUUUUUGCUUUAAAUUCUAAAUGCUGAGUGCUUAUUGAGCAUAAAAAUUGGGCUAUGCGCAAAAUAAUUUAUUGGUGCUUUUGUACAUUAAUACAAUGUUUUUUUAUACAGCUUUUAUGAAGAGUAACACAGCCUGCUCAAAUGAACCAAGUUGCUCAAAAUAAUAAUAUCCUUUCAGAUGAGGAUGGAUUUAAUAAACGCAGCCUUUGUGAACGAAAAGUUACAACAAUGGUUCUGCAAAUGAUUGUAAAUAACUUUUUUACAGUUCCUUGCUAACCCCCCCCCCAAAAAAAACAUUGCAUUUCUUUACUAUAAGAUCAUCUAUUCAUAUUUGUGAAUGUUAUUUGAUUAAAUCUCAUCAGCAGCAGAACAAUAAAAUUGUAAGAUCCCCCAUUCUCUGUUUUCAACUUGUUUGCUUCAAUGUGCAUGUUCCAACACAGAUGUUGAGCCUAGACUCAAUAGUGGUGGGAAAAUGUGGUUAAUUUAUAUUUGGUUUUCUAAAGAAAUGUGAAACGGUACUUACUGGAAACAAGAUAUAGCUAGCUGCAUAACCACAGCUCGAGCGUGUGAUGAGUUGGUUAUCCAAAGCUGCUGGAUGAUUAGUUUUUAUCUUGAACCGUUUUCUGCUCUAUUUGUGGGUUCGGCUCCUGCCAUCAAAUUGAAGAAUAUGACAGCGAUGGCAGACAAAACGAGUCCAUAAUGGUAGCUUAUGGUUCUUUCAUUUGUAGAAUUAUAGCCCUAUGACAAAACAAGCUCUUACUUCUGUUUGUGUACUUUUUACCUUGAAACAAUCAAAUUAAAUGAAAUCAGAGUUGA